rnacentral:pre_miRNA from 1 species
AGGAGGAACAACCACGGUGGCGGGGGCAGCUCUGGAGCCCUGGAUUCAGCCCCUGCAGGAAUUCCGGAGCUCUCAGUCCGCAGGGCCUGGAUGCUCCGGGCGGGG